CUGCCUAUUGGUACCUUCCCGUGCAGGAAAAUGAUUUUGUCCCGCGCAGACUCCCUCAGCACUUUUUUCACCCUAAAGCCGGAGAAAGUGGCAGCCUUCAGAAUCAGUCACUCAGCUGUCCACGAUCACCGGGACCAGCCAUCUCCAUUUUUGGAGCUUAAUUCCUUAUUACCGAUCACCCAUGAGCUCCCAGAUUGGUCAGAAUUAUUCCAUUGAGGUGGUGGCCGCUGUCAGUCACUUACACUGCGGGACUUGUACACCUACCUCUCUCUGGGCUUCUAUCUGGACCGCAACAUUGUGGCUCUGGAGGGUGUGAGCCACUUCUUUCGCAAACUGGCCAAACUGGCCAAGGAGAAGCGCGAGGACCCUCGAGCACUUCUUGACAAUGCCAAGCCAGCGCAGCGGCCGCUCCCUCUUCCUGGAGGUGCAGAAGCCGUCUCAAGACGAGUGGGGGUAAAACCCAGGACACUAUUGAAGCUGCCCUUCUCCUGGAGAAGAACCUAGAGCAGGCCAUUUUGGAUCUGCAUGGUCUGGGUUCUGUCACAAGUCCCCACAUUUGUGACUUCCUGGAGAACCACUUCCUAGUUAAGGAGGUGAAAUGCAUCAAGAAGACAGGGGACCAUCUGACCAACCUUUGCAGGCUGGCUGGUUCCCAGGCACGACUGGACAAAUAUCUCUUCAAAAAGCUCACCCUCAAGCAAGACUAGGAGCCCUUUUAAGAGCCCUGCUAACGCCAGGGCUUCUGCCUGGAGCCCUCUCUCAAGCUUUGGACCAAAUGGAAAAAGUAAAGCUUUUCGUAGCACAAAAUAAAUAAAAAUAACUUUACACUAGCAACAGAAAAUAUGACGUGUUAAGGAAUAAAUCUCAUAAAAAAUGUGACUGACCAAUAUGGAAACGAUUUGUAAAGUUUAUUGAAAUACAUUUAAAAACAAAGAAAUGGAGUCAUAACAUUUUUGUGAAGUAUUAAAACAUCCAUUCUUUCCAAAUUAAUCUCUCAACUCAAUGUAAGUCCAAUAAAAAUACUAAUUGGCCCAUUCCUGGAAUCUGACACAGUGAAUAAACAAUUUAUAUGAAAGAAUAAAGGAACGGGAAGGGUUGAAGUGAUUCUGAGAAAUAAAAGAAGUGGGAAGAGCGGACUGUAAAUUAUCAAGGUUUGCUAACAAUCACAGUCAGUAAGGCAGGGUGCCACUGACAGGGUACAUGAACAGAUGAAGGAAGGAGCCUGGAGAACCUAGGCGUAUGACAUAUGACAAAACAUGACACCGAUGACAGCACAGUCAGUGGGGCAGGAGGGACUAGGCAGCAAAGAACAGCAAUUCAAAUGAGGGGAAAUGGAUCUCUGAUUUACAAAUCAAGAGCAACAAAAACAAACCCAAACAGCACAGCCAGUUGGAUUAAAGAACCAAAUGUAAAAUACUUACAUAAGAAAAUACAAGAGUAUGCAAGAUUUCCCAAAGAAGACACAAAAAGCACAAACUACAAAUAGAUAAAAGUGUUUACAUUAAAAAAUAAAAAACUUCUUUAAAAGAUACUAUUAUAUUGUGGUCAUAUUUUUUCUUAAACUUCUAAUAAUUUAGAGAGACAUACUUAAAUAUUUAGAAAUAAAAUAACACCUGGGUUUUGCUUCAGAGGAUCUGGAGGGGACUUAUGGGUCGGGUUAUUGUUGAUAAAAGCUUAUCUCUGAGUUGGUGAUUGUUGAAACUGGGUGAUAGGUAUACAGGGAUUUGUCAAACUGCCUCCUUCCUUUUAGUGUAUAUUUUUUAUAAUAAAGGCAAAAGAGAAGAAAGAACAUUAUGACAAUAGUGUAUCAGUAUUCACCCACCAAAUUAACACACACUUAAAAAACUGACGUGUGUGUGUAUGUGUUAGUCACUCAGUUGUAUCUGACUCUUUGUGACUCCGUGGACUGUAGCCCACCAGGCUCCUCUGUCCAUGGAAUUCUUCAGGCAAGAAUACUGGAGUGGGUUGCUAUUGCCUUCUCCAGGGGGAUCUUUCCAACCCAGGGAUUGAACCCUGGUCUCCUGCAUUACAGGCGGAUGCUUUACCAUCUGAGCUACUGGAGAAGCCCUAAAAAACUGAUCAUUCUAAGUAAUUCCCUAGCAGUCCAGUGUUUAGGACUCAGCGCUUUCACUGCCAAGGCCUGGGUUCAAUCCCUGGUCAGGGAAGUAAGAUCCCAAAAGCUGUGCAGUGCAACAAAAAAUACAAAUAAAAAAUCUGAUAAUUCUAAUUGUUAGCAAGAUGAA